UGCGUACGGCGCGGGGUUGAUACUGCGCAUGCGUAGGGCAAGGCCUCGCGGGCGGGAAAGAGUUGGAGGACUGCAGGUGUGAGGGCGCGGCAGUGUGACGUCCUGAGGGCCGUGGCUCUUAGCUGCUGCACCCUGUUCUGUCAGGCUUUGUGGUGGAUUGGGUGUGAGCGUUCCUGCUGUCCCUCUGUGGGGCAGGUCUCCAGGAACGGAGUCCACAGUGUCAGGCCUCAGGCCUUUCUGCCUCCCACCGCCAGUUUGCCACGCGGUCCCGUGACAGCUUAUGUGGGCAUUUUCUCAAAAUGUCACACCAGUGACUUAGGGGACUUGUUCCCCCUCAGAUUCAAGUUGACCUCGUCCCGACUAAAGACAGAGCAACUUCCGUUACUGCUGUGGCCCAGAUUUCUCAGGGAAAGAUAAAAUGAAUAAGAAGAGGCAGCGGAACUCAGCUCCAGUACCACAUAAACCAGAAGGGGUAACGGACAGCUGUAACCUCAGCGCUGGGGACCUGGAGGCAGAAGGAUCAGAAGUUCAAGACCAUCCUGAGCUACAUAGUGAGUUUCUGGCCAGAUUAGCUGCCAGGUUCUACCAUCCCCCAAAGAAAGAAAAUAAAACUUCCCAGGUAAAAAACAAACACUUAAAGCAUGCACACACCAGAGGAGGAGGAGGAAUUCCCUGGAGUUUUCAGGCAGCUGACAUGGGUGCUGAAAACCCAACCCAGGCACCUCUUGGAAAAGAGCAGAAGCUUUCUAUCUCCUCAUCCUAUGUUUUUUGUAGGUUGGU